ensembl:lncRNA
GUAGUUUGACACACCCACAGCUGAGCCUUGUCAAGUAGGAGGUGACACUUUGUGUGUGCUUCAGUCCUUCAUGUUGUAAUUCAUCACUUCUCUUGUCAAUAGCAGAAACUUUGAUGGCAGCUGCACAUUUGGCCAUGAGUGGUGUCACAACUGCCAAAGCCUCAUUCAUGAUUUUGACUCUGCUGUGUCUGGUCCAUUUUUCAAGUUCAAUGAUAAACAAGGAUCAACUGGAGGUACUGAAAGCAAACAUUCAAAGAUUACAACAAGAAACAAUGAGAAGGAAGGCUGAAAAUAAUUUGGACAGAGCCUACAUUCCAGCUAUUUUUGAUGAUAUUAAACGUCUCAUGAAUCCUAUGUCCGAAUUUUUGAAGUCAUUGAAUCUUCCUACAUCGCUGUUUACACCGAUACUGGAUUUAAUGGAUGACACAGAAACCUUCCUGGAAGCCAGCAAGAAGUACAUAAAUAAGUACUUUGAGUCAACAGCUGCAGUAUUCAAGGACAAUGAACAGAAGCUAAGCAGUGUGAUGGCAAUAUUAACACAACUAGAAAAGCAUAAAGAUGAAUUGUAACAUAUUAGUCAUCGUCUGUCUCUAGUAUUAAAUGUUCUGUAUUUGUAAAACUUCUCUUUCAUACUGUGCAUGGUUAGAGCCAACAAAUAAUUUUGUCAUAUUAUCUUUUCAUUGUCUUUGUUAUAAUUGAGUUCAAAUGCACUGAACUGAGAUUAUAUCUAAGUAACCUUAAUAACACUGACAAUUGUUAAUGAUUUAAAUGAUGAAAGCCUUUUAAUGUGAAUAAAGACAUUAAUACUGUUAUUAUUUCAUGUUUUUGUGCAUUGUGAUGUUCGUGAGAAAAGAGAAAAGAGCAAACACUAGAGGCUGAUUGUUCUCUAGUGUUUGCUCACUGCCCAAAAUGUAAAUUCUUUAAGCCACAAAAUGCAGAACACCCAU